CACACAGCUUCCCACGAGCACGCCASCGGGCUCCUGCCACGCUGUGCCCCCGCUGACAGCGACAAUCGGGGCCCUCGGAGGGCGGCACACACCGCGGGGUGCGGGCGGGUGAAGUUACAGCUGAAAAAAAACCUGCUUCGAUCCCCAAAAUGGGCAGUGGAACGCUGCUCUCACCUCGCACAAGGUGCUCGGGAGCCGGCACGAGGCAGGGCAGGUUCYUUGGCUUUGCUCCCUGCUUCCAGACUUUCCCCAAGGCUCGCUGUCCUUUCCGGGCUGGGGCAGGACAUGUGUGGCCAGCUGGAGGGCCAGGGGGAACAAGCAGUACCYCUGGCAGGCGUCACAAAGCCGAAGAGGAUUAUUUAUGGAACAGAUUUUCUCCAGGUUGUGUUACAGGGGUGGGGGUGAACGGGGCAGACCCCAGCACUGGGCGAGUGGGAAGUUUGGGACAUCUCCCCACCCAAAAAAGCCCAGUGAGCUGAGGGGUCUGGCACUGGUAUAGCCAUGGUUUGGAAGAUGUCUUUUAUCUUUUAAAAAAGCUGCUCUGAUGCUUU